rnacentral:rRNA from 1 species
AUUGAACGCUGGCGGCAUGCCUUACACAUGCAAGUCGAACGGCAGCACGGGAGCAAUCCUGGUGGCGAGUGGCGAACGGGUGAGUAAUAUAUCGGAACGUGCCCAGUCGUGGGGGAUAACGCAGCGAAAGCUGUGCUAAUACCGCAUACGAUCUAAGGAUGAAAGCGGGGGAUCGCAAGACCCAGCGCGAUUGGAGCGGCCGAUAUCAGAUUAGCUAGCUGGUGGGGUAAAGGCCCACCAAGGCGACGAUCUGUAGCUGGUCUGAGAGGACGACCAGCCACACUGGAACUGAGACACGGUCCAGACUCCUACGGGAGGCAGCAGUGGGGAAUUUUGGACAAUGGGCGCAAGCCUGAUCCAGCAAUGCCGCGUGCAGGAUGAAGGCCUUCGGGUUGUAAACUGCUUUUGUACGGAACGAAACAGCCCUUUCUAAUACAGGGGGCUAAUGACGGUACCGUAAGAAUAAGCACCGGCUAACUACGUGCCAGCCGCCGCCGUAAAAC